rnacentral:rRNA from 1 species
UACGUAGGGUCCAAGCGUUAUCCGGAAUCACUGGGCGUAAAGGGUGCGUAGGUGGCCUAAAAAGUUUGAUGUGAAAGCUCAGGGCUUAACCCUGAAAUGGCAUUGAAUACUGUUGGGCUGGAGGUUUGGAGGGGGGACUGGAAUUCUUGGUGUAGCAGUGAAAUGCGUAGAUAUCAAGAGGAACACCAGUGGCGAAGGCGAGUCCCUGGACAACACCUGACACUGAGGCACGAAAGCUAGGGGAGCAAACAGG